AGAAAAAUAAGCUAAACAUUUUUAAGCUAAUGGGUUCAUACCUCAUUUAUGGAAUUUUAUAUCCUUUUUCUA
rnacentral:tRNA from 1 species